UGCUGAAGAAAACAAAAAAUAUAUAAAAAAUGUCACCGACAAAAGAGCAUUGAAAUCCACCAGCCUAAACAGAACAGCGUGCCAAGAUAGUAAUGGACAAUGUUCCACUUCCACUUUAACAACAUUAGAUCACUAUCACUCUGAGUUUGAAAUACGACAGAGUAGACCUUGCUCUUUUUGUUGUGCAAAGAAAUUCCAAUACGAAACCCCAAAUUUUUGUUGCUAUGGUGGUAAAGUAGUCCUUGCAAGUCCUUGCGUUCUAGAGGUACUACACAAAUUAUACACGUCACAAUGUGAGGAAGGAAAAGAAUUCCGCAAAAACAUCCGAGCCUAUAAUAGUAUCUUUUCUUUUACUUCAUUUGCGGUGAGAUUGGAUAAGCAGUUAGCAACCUCACAACAAGGUGUUUAUACACUCCGUGCACAAGGCCAAAUCUACCAUAACCUCCCUUCUCUUAUUCCUUCAACAGAUGGUCCAUGUUUCUUUCAAAUGUACUUCUAUGAUACAUGCAAUGAGGUGCAAAAUAGACUGCAGAUUUUAAAAGACGCAGAUCUGAGCGAGUCCGUUGUUAGAAAACUCAUGGAGGUCCUUUCGGAGAAUCCAUAUGCUCAAGUUCUACGCACACUAGAAAAGAAGCCGCUGGAAUCUUAUAGGAUUCAUAUACAAAGUAGUGUCAAAUUGGAUUAGAGAGUGUACAACUCCCCAUCAGCUGAUCAAGUUGCAGGCAUUUGGAUUGAAGGGAACAACGCCAAUGUGCCAUUUGAACGAGAAAUUGUUAUUCAUGAACAUUCUGGUAGCAGACAUCGAGUACAACACUAUUAUGGUUGUUAUGAUCCAUUACAAUACCCCGCAUUAUUUCCAAGGGGUGAAAGUGGUUGGCAUCAGAAUAUUAUGAAAAAAAACACCUCAACAUCGAAAUGGGUCUUCGCAUGAGGAUUCGGCUAUGCCCAAAUUUGCGAGUGCGGAUGAUACUUUCAAAAAUGAACAAAGAGGUAAUGCUGGUACAUACUCCUUUAUGGAUUUAUGAUAUGAUAAUGGUUGUGUAUGACAUUUUUGGAAUAAUGACUUUGAAAAAUAUUGACUUAAUCUAUUGGUUUAUACUUUUGUAAUUGUUACUAGAGGUGAAUUGACAAAAGUAUCAUGUUGACAAUAUUAUUGCUACAAGUUACAAAUCUGAGAGAACAACCAUUCAAUUAUCUUGUUGGCUGGAAAAUUAUUGCAACAAUUUGUCGUCGACAUGUACAUUAAGUUGGAAACAACAAGGCCUGAUUUUUAUAGACAUAAGCAGUCUGAAAUUAGAGCUAAAUUAUACCAAGGAAUCGUUGAUAGUGUAUUAAGUGGUGAAAAAAGAGGGAACAUGGUUGGGAAAAGAAUUGUUUUACCUGCAUCUUUUGUAGGUGGCCCAAGAGAUAUGCAUCGUAGAUAUCUGGAUGCAAUGUCACUUGUACAACAUUUUGGGAAGCCAGACCUCUUUAUAACUAUGACUUGCAACCCCGAGUGGAAAGAGAUUCAAGAUGAAUUGUGCAAGGGACAAACGCCAUAGGAUAGACCUGAUUUGACUGCACGAAUUUUCAAAGCCAAACUAUAUGAUCUGAAGGAUCAAUUGUUUAAAAGAAAAAUAUUUGGAAGAGUAGUUGCACAUGUUUACGUUAUUGAGUUCCAAAAAAAAGCUUGCCUCAUGUCCAUAUGUUAAUCAUAUUGAAGCCCCCCGAGCAUAAGAUAACAAGUGCUGAAUAGUAUGAUAAGUUUGUUUCUACUGAAAUCCCUGAUGAGGCUACAGAUCCCGAUUUGUACGCAAAAGUUGUAAAACAUAUGAAGCACAAACCAUGUGGAGAUCUCAAGAAAAACAACCCAUGUAUGCGUGAUGGAAAAUGCAAAGCCAUUAUCCUCGCGCAUUCUGCCCAAACACAAUGCAAGGAAAAGAUUCUUAUCCAAUCUAUAGAAAAAGAAAUGACAACCGUAAAGUGUUUGUGAGGAAAGCCUCAUUGGACAACAGGUGGGUGGUACCUUAUAACCCUUACCUAUUGAGAAGAUACAAUUGCCAUCUCAAUGUCUAGAUAUGCUCUGGUAUUACCGCCGUCAAAUACUUGUACAAGUACAUAUUCAAGGGACAUGACAAAGUUUCAAUAUAUAUUGCUUAGGGUGAUGGAAACACUACUAUAGAUGAAAUUCGGCACUUUCAAGACGCUCGAUGGGUAUUAGCACAAGAAGCUAGAUGGAGAAUUUUUGAGUUUGAUUUGAAUGAAAUCCAUCCCGCAGUUAUUAAUUUGCAAGUGCACCUCCCCAAUAAACAGUUUGUCCCUUAUUGGAAGAACCAAAAUUUGGAGAACCUAAUAUACUCAGAUUCUGCAUCAAGAAAAUGCUCACCGAGUUCUUCAACACGUGUUACCACAACAUAGAAGCAAGAAAGUAUCUUUAUAGAGAAUUCCCAAAGCAUUACGUAUGGGAAAGUACAACUAAGUGUUGGACAAAAAGAAAAAUAGGACAAGUAAUUGGGCGUAUCAAUGGAGCAAACCCGUCAGAUGGCGAGAGGUAUUAUUUGAGGCUUCUUCUUAACCAUGUUAGAGGUCCUACUUCUUUUACUUACCUUUUAAGCUAUAAUAGUGUUCAAUACUCGUCUUUUAAAGAAGCUGCCCAAAAGAGAGGUUUGCUCAAAUCAUAUUUUAUAUUUCAGAAUGUCUACAUGUGGCUGCAAACUUCCACAGGCCCAAUGCAUUAUGCCAACUAUUUGCAACUAUGUUGAUUUUUUGUGAGCCUGUUGAUGUUAUGAGAUUAUGGAAUAUCCAUUUCGAAUCAAUGUCUGAAGAUUUUGUCCACAGCCAAGCCAUUGUGUUUGAGGAGAGGGUGUUGAAAACAGUAAGAAGCUUGGGCUUUUUCUUAGAAAGAAUGGAGAGAAGUGUUAAAGACUUUGAUUUACCAAUUGUAGAUUUAACUGUGGCAGAAGAUAGGCUGACUGAAAAAAGAGAAAUCCUUGAUGAAUUAGCUGUUACAGUACCUCUAGAAGAUUAUUCAGCGGCUACUACUUUGAAUGAAGAACAAUUGGCAGCUUAUGAUAUCAUAAUGGAUUGUAUAAAUUUUGAGCAAAGUGGCAUUUUUUUCAUUGAUGGUCCUGGGGGAACUGGUGAGACUUAUUUAUACCGUGCUCUUCUUGCUACCAUCAGAUUAAAACAUCAGAUUGCUAUAGCAACAACAACAUUAGGAGUUGCAACUUGACUCUUACCAGGCGGUAGAACAGCACACUCAAGAUUUAAAAUACCUAUUAAUGGUAACGAAUCUUGUUUAUGUAACAUUCCUAAGCAGAGUGGCACUGCAGAGCUAUUAAGGAGAGCGAAAUUGAUUAUAUGGGAUGAGGCACCUAUGGCAAAGCAAUGGGUAAUUGAAGCUGUUGAUCUAAGUUUGAGAGAUGUUAUGAGUAACGAUAUAAUAUUCGAUGGCAAAUCAAUUGUGUUUGGUGGAGAUUUCUGUCAAGUUCUCCCAGUUGUGCCACAAGCAACUAGAACUGACACUGUUAACUCAAGCUUGGUGCAAUCGUAUGUAUGGCCACAGUUUAAGAAACUGAAAUUGACCAAAAAUAUGAGGGCAGCAUCUGAAUUAGUUUUUAGCGACUUCCUCUUACACAUUAGUAAUGGUGAAGAAAAAACCACGGGUGAUGAAAUGGUUGAAAUUCCAUCUAAAAUGCUUAUCAAAAUAGGAGAGAAUGAUAAUCCAAAAAAUGACAUGAUAUAUGCUGUUUAUCCUUCAAUUCAGCAAAAUUAGAAUCAGCUGAAUACGUCACGAAACAUGCAAUCCUUGCCCCAAAGAAUGAGACAGUUGACAUGCUUAAUGAGAAGCUUAUAACAUUUUUUCCUGGUGAGGCUAGGAUAUUUUGGAGCUUUGAUGACGCUAUUGACAAUACGCAUAAUUACUACCCAGAAGAAUUUUUGAACACUCUUACACCAAAUGGCCUUCCUCCACAUAAAUUAGUGCUUAAACGAAAUAGCCCCAUUAUGUUAAUAAGAAAUAUAGACCCAUCUGGUGGGCUAUGCAAUGGGACAAAAAUGGUUUGUAGAGGUUUUGACAAAGAUGUCAUAUAUGCAGAAAUUACAGUCGGCCAAUUUGCAGGGAAACCUGUUCUGCUUCCAAGAAUUCCACUCCUUCUAGUUGAGAAUGAAGCAAUACCCUUCAAAUUCAAGCACACACAGUUUCUAAUUCGCCUAUGUUUUGCCAUGACAAUUAAUAAGGCACAAGGGCAAACAAUCCCUUAUGUUGGUCUCUAUUUACCUCAAAAUGUUUUCACGCAUGGGCAACUAAAUGUGGCAUUGUCUCGUGGGACUUCUUUGGCAAUUACAAAAGUCUUGCUCAAAACAGGAGUUGAUGAAAAUAAGGAACGUUCACAUACCAAAAAUGUAGUUUUUAAGGAGGUAUUGACUAUGUAGUUAUCCAUUUCAGGACAUCCAUCUUGACUAGCCUCUUUAUUUUCAUCUGUGUUUCUAUAUUUGUACACAUUUGUUCAUUUGCCUCUGUAUUUUCAUAUGUACACAUUUGAAAUAUCUAUAUCAGUUCUAUGAUACCAUAUGGAUUUGGUAAUUAUUGGAGUGUCGCCCUUGGAAACAUAGAACCGAUCAAGAGGACCCACAAAUUAUCUUUGGUACAUUUGAUUACAUUUCGUUUUAUUUGGUAGCGUUGUCUUUGUUUUACUAUUAUGGUUCCAGAAAGUGGGCAAUUACUCAUGGGCUUGUUUGCCAACUGACUUUGAAUUAUCUUGGAUAAUACAUCAAAGACAUAGAAAAGGAGAAGCUCAAGAUUAACCUAAGAAUGGUAAGUGUUAUAUUUUGUACUUGUAUACUGAUGAUGUUACCAUUCACCAAAAGGUCUGGCGUAGUUUGUGCGUUUAAGAGUGGGUUUUUCCAUGUCUUUUUCCACCUUUGGCAUUCCCUUUACUAUUUCUUAAACACUUCAAGACAAUAUGUUUCUUAUCCAGAAACUAAUUGAAGAGAUUUGAUAGAGCAGGUUAUGGAGAAAUUGAUACAAAUCCAAAGCAAUCAGAUAAGAGUGAAGCAUUUGAUAUACAAAAACUUGCUGACCAGUUACAGUUGGAAGAUACUUUCUAUAUAUUUGGAGUCUCCAUGGGAGGUUGGGGUUGUCUCAAAUAUAGAACCCACAGGAAUUAGAGUUAAAGGAAUUUUUAGAUAGUUUGCAGAUGUUGAGGAGGUAGACUGCAUUGUUUUCCCAUUGGAAGUUUGCUCUGCUCUUCUUCUUUUGUGAUCUCUGUAUGUCACCUCAUUUAGAGGAAUAAUUGAUGAACAUGCUUGAUUACUUCGAUUGAAAAGACUUGUCUACAGCAAAGCAAAACAAAUGGCCCUAAACUUGGCAUUCCUUCAUCAACUCCACACCAAGAGGAUUCUUCAAUUGAAUUCUCAAACAAAACAGGCAAGAUUGGUAUGCUUCUCAAACCCAAGAAGGGAGAAAAAGAGGAAAAGAAAAAGAGUUCAGGCACACAAGAACAAUGAAGUACAAAUUUAUGCCUGCAUCAGA